UAGUUCAUCAACAUCAACCAACAGGAACAAUAGAGAAGGAUAUUUCUCAGACAGCUCACGGUAGAAUGGUGCAAUCAUCCUACAAGGACCACACCAUGUUGCACUGAAAUUCACCAAAACAGUUUUGCCCUCCCUAUUAGCUUCUGACAGCUUCUGCUCCCAGACCUCUUGGGCAGUAAUGAGAUGCACAUUACUGCCAACAAAUUCAACAUGCUGAACAGAAUCAUCUUCCCCCUUUUUUGAGCAUAAGCAUUGUCCCAUAUCUUAUAUAGAUAGCCAAAAUUUUAAUCCCUAGCAGCUAAUUCCCUCCUUUUCUUCUUUUCCUGGAUCGAUUUGAUGAGUAUACAAGAGGACGAAUAUCU
rnacentral:misc_RNA from 1 species